CCCGGCGAAGCGCCAGCCCCACGCUGGGGGCCCCGCCUCGAGCCGAGCUCGGUCCCCGCGAACCUCUCGGACCCCUUUGUGCGGCCGGAGGCGGCGGCGGCGGCGGCGGGAACGGCCAUGGCGGCCAACAUGUACCGGGUGGGAGAUUACGUCUAUUUUGAGAACUCCUCCAGCAAUCCUUACCUGGUUAGACGGAUUGAGGAGCUCAACAAGACUGCAAACGGAAAUGUGGAAGCAAAGGUUGUCUGUCUUUUCCGGCGAAGGGACAUUUCUAGUAGCCUCAACAGCUUGGCGGAUAGUAAUGCCA